AAGUAUGAUGAUAAAACAAAAAGACAAGCUGGAAUUACCUGCUGAGCAAUUGCAUUUGAAUGAUAAUCUUUUUAACUACUUCUGAUU
rnacentral:snoRNA from 1 species